UACGGGGGGGGCAAGCGUUGUUCGGAAUUACUGGGCGUAAAGGGCUCGUAGGUGGCCAACUAAGUCAGACGUGAAAUCCCUCGGCUUAACCGGGGAACUGCGUCUGAUACUGGAUGGCUUGAGUUCGGGAGAGGGAUGCGGAAUUCCAGGUGUAGCGGUGAAAUGCGUAGAUAUCUGGAGGAACACCGGUGGCGAAGGCGGCAUCCUGGACCGACACUGACACUGAGGAGCGAAAGCCAGGGGAGCAAGCGGG
rnacentral:rRNA from 1 species